GGGGAAUAUUGCACAAUGGGGGAAACCCUGAUGCAGCGACGCCGCGUGGAGGAAGAAGGUCUUCGGAUUGUAAACUCCUGUUGUUGGGGAAGAUAAUGACGGUACCCAACAAGGAAGUGACGGCUAACUACGUGCCAGCAGCCGCGGUAAAACGUAGGUCACAAGCGUUGUCCGGAAUUACUGGGUGUAAAGGGAGCGCAGGCGGGAAGACAAGUUGGAAGUGAAAUCUAUGGGCUCAACCCAUAAACUGCUUUCAAAACUGUUUUUCUUGAGUAGUGCAGAGGUAGGCGGAAUUCCCGGUGUAGCGGUGGAAUGCGUAGAUAUCGGGAGGAACACCAGUGGCGAAGGCGGCCUACUGGGCACCAACUGACGCUGAGGCUCGAAAGUGUGGGUAGCAAACAGGAUUAGAUACCCUGGUAGUCCACACUGUAAACGAUGAUUAUUAGGUGUUGGAGGAU
rnacentral:rRNA from 1 species